rnacentral:rRNA from 1 species
AGCAGCCGCGGUAAUUCCAGCUCCAAUAGCGUAUAUUAAAGUUGUUGCAGUUAAAAAGCUCGUAGUUGAAUUUCGGGAUCAGAUUGUCGGUCGUGCCUCGGUACGCACUGGCAUUAUUGGUUCCUACCUUCUGAAGAACCGCGAUGUCAUUAAUUUGGUGUCGUGGGGAAUCAGGACUGUUACUUUGAAAAAAUUAGAGUGUUUAAAGCAGGCGCACGCUUGAAUACAUUAGCAUGGAAUAAUGAAAUAGGACGUUUGAUUCUAUUUUGUUGGUUUCUAGGAUCGACGUAAUGAUUAAUAGGGAUAGUUGGGGGCAUUAGUAUUCAAUUGUCAGAGGUGAAAUUCUUGGAUUUAUUGAAGACUAACUACUGCGAAAGCAUUUGCCAAGGAUGUUUUCAUUAAUCAAGAACGAAAGUUAGGGGAUCGAAGACGAUCAGAUACCGUCGUAGUCUUAACCAUAAACUAUGCCGACUAGGGAUCGGAUGAUGUUAAUUUUAUAAUGACUCA